GGGGUUAUAGCUCAGUUGGUAGAGUGAUUGCCUCGCAUGCAAACACCUUGGGUUCAAUCCCCAACAUCCCAA
rnacentral:tRNA from 1 species